GCAGUCGAACGAACUUCCGUUAAUUGAUUAUGACGUACUUGUACUGAUUGAGAUUUUAACACGAAGUGAGUGGCGAACGGGUGAGUAACACGUGGGUAACCUGCCCAGAAGUAGGGGAUAACACCUGGAAACAGAUGCUAAUACCGUAUAACAGAGAAAACCGCAUGGUUUUCUUUUAAAAGAUGGCUCUGCUAUCACUUCUGGAUGGACCCGCGGCGUAUUAGCUAGUUGGUGAGGUAAAGGCUCACCAAGGCAGUGAUACGUAGCCGACCUGAGAGGGUAAUCGGCCACUUUGGGACUGAGACACGGCCCAAACUCCUACGGGAGGCAGCAGUAGGGAAUCUUCCACAAUGGACGCAAGUCUGAUGGAGCAACGCCGCGUGAGUGAAAAAGGGUUUCGGCUCGAAAAGCUCUGUUUUUUAAAGAAAAACGGGGGUAAAAGUAACUGUUUCCCCCGGGGCCGGUUUUUAACCAAAAAGCCCCGGCUAAACUACGUGCCACCACCCCGCGGUAAUACGUAGGGGGGCAAGGCGUUUUCCGGAUUUUUUGGGGGGAAAAGCGAGCCGCAGGGCGGUCUUUUUAAGUUCUAAUGUGAAAAGCCUUUCCGGCUCCCCCCAAAAAAUUGCUUUGGAAACUGGGAAAAUUUGAGGGCAAAAAAAGGACAGUGGAACCUCCCUGUGUGCGGGUGAAAUGCGUANAUUAUGGAANAACACCAUUGGCAAAGGGGGGUUGUCUGGGNUUGCAACUGACCCUAAGGCUCGAAAGCGUGGGUAGCGAAAAGGAAUUAAUAACCCUGGGUAGCCCUGGCCGCAAACGAUGAAUACAUAAUUGUGGGAGGGUUUCCGCCCUUCCGUGGCGCAGCUAAC
rnacentral:rRNA from 1 species